ensembl:lincRNA
CCGGAUUAUGUGUAGGGUCUUGCUACUAACAUUUUCAAGGAAACCCUGAAAAAAGUCUCGUAUGUGCUCACUGUUCAGUCCUCUCCAGUUUCCAGCCCUGCCUCUAGGCAUGAUGAGCCCCCAGAAGUGUGGUCCCUGCCCACUGGAGCAGACCUCUGGCACUCAGCUACGCUCUCCACGUGUCUCGGCUCUUCUGACCUCUGAACUUCACAUAAGGAAACUCUUCUGUGGUCUUUGCCAACAUGGCGUGAAGUUCUUCAUGGAUAGUGCUGCUUUGCUACGUGGGUCUGUGUUGUGCUGUCUCUUCGUGGUCUUACAGGUUCAACUCUGUGACCUGCUGUGAGCAAAGUCCAACCCGUUACCCAACCCUUAUCCUUCAAAUGCCAAGGAAGAAAGUUGGAGAGAUGACUUAUCAUAUAUAAAAUUAUUGGUGUACAUGACAAAAUGCACAAAUUUAAACUUGUAAUGAAUCAACACUAAAGGCAGAGCAAUUAUGAGCUGGGGGAAAUCAAUGAGGCUUGGAGUACUGUGGGAUUAGCCUCAUGGAAUCUGUUUGAUGUGAGGCUGUUGGGGCUGACCCAGAUCCCCUUUACCAGUCCAAUUACCUGUUCCUCCAUUGCCGAAUGGAUGCUGCCUCUUCUACUUGGUCAUUACUCUCAAAGAACAGCCAGAAGUUAAUGAUUGACUAACCCAAGAAGACAAGGCCAUCUCUUUGGUUUAACAGGAAACCAACUCUGGGGUAUCAUUCCUGAUUUAGAGCCCCUCAUGGGAACAGAUAUCUUGAGGUCCAUUUUCAGCCAAGAUGACUUCCAUGCUUGCUUUCUUACUGUUUUGUUUCCCUCACUCCCCAACUGGCAGAGUACUCCUUGACAUAUCACUCUUACAAGAAUCAUUCUCUCAGGAUUUGAUCUGAGGAAUUUCUACCUAAGAGAGUUGGUAUCAGACAUGGACUUGAGAAGCAGACUCUAAUAAGGGAAUUCUAAAAGUGGACCAAUCACUGACCAGAUGCCAAUCAGGACACCAUUCCUAGUGGAAAGCAGGCUUUUGAUAGUGCUAGCAUGCUACAGCAGUGGGAUUGCUAAUGAUUUUCACCUGUGCUGAACUUUGCAGAAAAUAGAUGAGAGGAGGUGCACUAGCUGGCAAAAAGUCUCUAGCAUUUGAGAAUUUUAAGGGAACAGUACUCAAGACUAUAGAAUUGAAUGCUUUGAUAAGUGCCAUUGAUGCACUGAAGAGAGCAGGCUUAACGUAUACAGACCCACAAUUUAAAACAAAAUGUGAGUGUUGGGAGCCUCCUUAGCUGCAUUGACAGAAGCAAUUAUGUCCUGCAGACAGGAGAACAACAGAGCUGAGACUAGACCCUUGAUCUAAUUGAAAGAAUGACAGAUAUUUCAAAGAAGACUUAAUUUUGAACCUAGACCAUUCUCCCGAGUCAAAGCCUUGCCCUGACAGGAAAGAAGUGAGAUCUGAGACUUAUGACCACGUUCUUGAGGGCUCUUUUCUGAUUGAAAAGUUGUGCAGAAAUCUCAAAUGAGACAUUUCACAAGACAGUCAAUGGCUGCCUUGCUUUGGACCUGUCCUUACUUUCCCUCAUGGACACCAGAGAGAAAACCAAGAUUAAGGAUCCACAUGCCCCUAUUGGGAAGUGUGUGGGNNNNNNNNNNNNNNNNNNNNNNNNNNNNNNNNNNNNNNNNNNNNNNNN